GCUACUGCCCUUAGCAAACCAUUGUCAUCACCACUACCAAUAAGAACAAGCAAAGUGAUCAAGUGAUUUUCUGUUGCUGCUGCCAGCAUCUCUUCAUUUCAGCUUUUACCUAGUAAUUGGCUCGGGCGAAGCUGACACGUAGAUCCACAUCCUCAGCCCAAACAUCAUUAGCGGGCUUGUUGUAGAAGACGGGGAUGAUGCCGCGAUACAGGUGCAACUGGUGGGCUGUCUGGCCAUUACGGGUCACAGCCAUGAUAGGAGCACGUGGCCUGUACCUGGACAGCAGCUCAGCGGACCUGAGGAGACACAGUAGGGGCGAUGUUUCACACAGAUUCUCCAAAAAUAUACAGGACAGGUACAGAAAAGGAAACUUUGAUGCAAAUGAUAUUCCAAAGCUGGUGGAGGCAGCAGAGGCGAUCAUGAUGAUCCACAUCGAUAGAUGGCAGAAAAGCGUCUAACACCACUGUCGUAUCGGUACUUAAAGUACACGAAGAAGAG